UGUGACACAGCCCAGCAGUCUCAGUGCCCAGAAGGGUUUGACCUGCCACCAGUUAUCUUGUUUUCUAUGGAUGGAUUUAGAGCUGAAUAUUUAUACACAUGGGAUACUUUAAUGCCAAAUAUCAAUAAACUGAAAACAUGUGGAAUUCAUUCAAAAUACAUGAGAGCUAUGUAUCCUACCAAAACCUUCCCAAAUCAUUACACCAUUGUCACGGGCUUGUAUCCGGAGUCACAUGGCAUCAUUGACAAUAAUAUGUAUGAUGUAAAUCUCAACAAGAAUUUUUCACUUUCUUCAAAGGAACAAAAUAAUCCAGCCUGGUGGCAUGGGCAACCAAUGUGGCUGACAGCAAUGUAUCAAGGUUUAAAAGCCGCUACCUACUUUUGGCCCGGAUCAGAAGUGGCUAUAAAUGGCUCCUUUCCUUCCAUAUACAUGCCUUACAACGGGUAGUGAAGCACUUUCAGAUAUUCUCCCAGCUAGGCAGAAAUGAUCAGGAUGUUUUCUGUCUUAAUCUUGGCGGCAGUUCUAUUAAUCCAGUUGUUUAAGCCAAAAAUCUUGGGAAUCACCAUUGAUUCCUUUCCUUUAUGUCACUCAAGCAGUCUCUCAGUAAAUGCUUUUGGCUCUAAUUAAAAAUC
rnacentral:sRNA from 1 species